rnacentral:rRNA from 1 species
UUUAAAUUGAGAGUUUGAUCCUGGCUCAGGAUGAACGCUGGUGGCGUGCCUAAUACAUGCAAGUCGUACGCUAGCCGCUGAAUUGAUCCUUCGGGUGAAGUGAGGCAAUGACUAGAGUGGCGAACUGGUGAGUAACACGUAAGAAACCUGCCCUUUAGUGGGGGAUAACAUUUGGAAACAGAUGCUAAUACCGCGUAACAACAAAUCACACAUGUGAUCUGUUUGAAAGGUCCUUUUGGAUCGCUAGAGGAUGGUCUUGCGGCGUAUUAGCUUGUUGGUAGGGUAGAAGCCUACCAAGGCAAUGAUGCGUAGCCGAGUUGAGAGACUGGCCGGCCACAUUGGGACUGAGACACUGCCCAAACUCCUACGGGAGGCUGCAGUAGGGAAUUUUCCGCAAUGCACGAAAGUGUGACGGAGCGACGCCGCGUGUGUGAUGAAGGCUUUCGGGUCGUAAAGCACUGUUGUAAGGGAAGAAUAACUGAAUUCAGAGAAAGUUUUCAGCUUGACGGUACCUUACCAGAAAGGGAUGGCUAAAUACGUGCCAGCAGCCGCGGUAAUACGUAUGUCCCGAGCGUUAUCCGGAUUUAUUGGGCGUAAAGCGAGCGCAGACGGUUUAUUAAGUCUGAUGUGAAAUCCCGAGGCCCAACCUCGGAACUGCAUUGGAAACUGAUUUACUUGAGUGCGAUAGAGGCAAGUGGAACUCCAUGUGUAGCGGUGAAAUGCGUAGAUAUGUGGAAGAACACCAGUGGCGAAAGCGGCUUGCUAGAUCGUAACUGACGUUGAGGCUCGAAAGUAUGGGUAGCAAACGGGAUUAGAUACCCCGGUAGUCCAUACCGUAAACGAUGGGUGCUAGUUGUUAAGAGGUUUCCGCCUCCUAGUGACGUAGCAAACGCAUUAAGCACCCCGCCUGAGGAGUACGGCCGCAAGGCUAAAACUUAAAGGAAUUGACGGGGACCCGCACAAGCGGUGGAGCAUGUGGUUUAAUUCGAAGAUACGCGAAAAACCUUACCAGGUCUUGACAUACCAAUGAUCGCUUUUGUAAUGAAAGCUUUUCUUCGGAACAUUGGAUACAGGUGGUGCAUGGUCGUCGUCAGCUCGUGU